rnacentral:misc_RNA from 1 species
UACAGUUUUCUCCCAUCCUAGGUUAAAAAAGACAUUCAAUAAACUGGCUUCCAGGAGAAUGUUUGACAGAAUUCACAAUUUUUUUUGUUUCUCAGCCUUCCUGUUAAUCUCCUGAUACCAAUGAUGUAAGAGACAAUUUAAGAAAUCUUCACAGACCAAUUUUGUAAUUCCUUGAGAAUUGAGACCAUGAGCUUUAUCUCUGCUUUUAUUCACUUAUUUUCAUCCAACAACUUACCAAGGAUCAACAUCAUUUUCUAGAGAGUAGGGGAGAAUUCUUCAAACCAAAUUCUACUUAUAUUCACCAGUAAUCCAUACAUGAGCACUUUCCCCCACUAAAAUGGUGGAAUCUAUACCGAUCUUUUAAUAUUAUAUCUCUGUUGUAAAGCAUAGAUAUGAGCUUAGCCACUGAGUGACAGUCCCCACAAACACGAAGAUUUUUCACAAUCCUGAUUGGUUGUGAUGGACCCAAUCUGAUAAGCCCAAAGGCGAUCGCUAACUUUUCACUGUGAAGGUUAAGGGCCUUCUCCUUCAUGUCGUCUUCUUCAACAAAUUGCAGAACGUGGGAUGCAUUUGGCACAUAACCAGCAGAUUUCAGCCCAUCUACUAUCUCAUCAAGCUUUGAGUAGAUUUCAUUGGAUAUCGGAUGAGAGUUGUCUCCCACAAGAAACUCGUGAAUGAUACCAUCAACCUCAAUUGAGCUACAACCUGGUUCUUUCUUGAUUCCAAAAACUUUCAUACGCUGCCUUAAUCCAGACACGCCGUCCCAUUUCCCUGUUUUGGCGUAUAUAUUGGAUAAAAGCACAUAGGCUCCAUGAUUACUAGGGUCUAUCUCAAGCAAAUUGCCACAUGCAAUUUCAGCAAGCUCAACAUUCCCAUGGAUUCUACAGGCGCCAAGUAGUGCUCCCCACACAGAAGCACUCGGAACUAUUGGCAUUUUCCCUAUCAAUUCAAAAGCUUCUUCCAGAUGGCCUGCACGACCAAGAAUAUCAACCAUGCAAGUAUAGUGCUUGAUUCCAGGCACAACACCGUAAACUGAUUCCAUCUGAUUAAAAAACAUCCUUCCCUCUUCCACUAGUCCUGUAUGGCUACAAGCGCUUAAUAAGUUGGUAAAUGUCACAGAAUUGGGCAUCACCUUAGCUUCUUGCAUUUUGACAAACAAAUCUAUAGCAGCUCUGCCACGACCAUGCAUUGCCAAACCAGCAAUCAUGGCACUCCAAACAAACACAUCCCUCAUCUCAGCUGAAUAAAAAAUGUCAAGCGCCUUCUCUAGAUCACCGCAUUUAGAAUACAUGUCAAUAAGCGAUGUUGUGAGAUGACAGUUUAACUUAAUCCCUUGCUUCUUUAUGUACACAUGGAUCCAUCCACCUAUAUCUAUUGCUCCCAACUGAGAGCAAGCUGAAAGAGUGCUUAAAAGCGUAACUUCAUCUGGUUUUGCAGUCUUACUACGCUGCAAUUCGUGGAAAAUGGACAAAGCCUCCUUUGGCUUCCCAUUCUGUUCAUAAGCUGAAAUUAGCACAUUCCACGCAGCUAUUUCUGGUCUAGGCAUGGCAUAAAAUAUACUCCUAGCUGCAUCGAAGUCCCUCCCUUUUGCAUACCCAUCAAUCAUAGUUGUCCAUGAAACAACAUCUUUCUCCUCCAUCUUAUCAAACAAUCUUCUUGCAUCUUCAAUACUUCCAUUUUUCACAUACAUAUCAAGCAUCGCAUUACUAAGAGUCAAAUUCAGAUGAAUCCCAUUCCUCUCAAUAUACUGGCAAACCCAUCUCCCAAAUUCCAAAUCCAACUUCUUUGAGCAGGCAGACAAAACACCCACCAUUGUCACAUAGUUAGGACUGACAUCCUCCACCUCCAUUCUUUGAAAUAAUUCCAGUGCCUUCUCAGGACAGCCUCCCUGUGCAAACCCCGUAAUCAUUGAAUUCCAAGAAACAACAUCCUUCUCGUCAAUUUUCAAGAAGACUAAAUAAGCCGAAUCCAUAUCCCCACACGAGGCAUAACAAUGUAUAAGAGAGUUCGAAACAAACAAAUCCGAACUCAACGAGGCCUUAAUGACCAUCCCGUGAAUAGCUUGAGCUACAGGCAAACUAGAAAUCCCCGCAGCAGCUUUGAUAACAAAUGGAAAAGUGAACUUGUUAGGAAAAUCUAGACUCUCAUAAAGCAUUCGGAUAAAUAUCAAAAGGCUGUGAAUGGGUUCUGGGCUUGAAGCGAAAGCACGAAUGAAGGUGUUCCAAGUGUAGAGAUUUGGCUGGGGAAUAUGGUCGAACACCUUGCGAGCAUAGUCGAGGCUGGAGAAGGAUGAGAAAGCAGCCACAGCGAAAAGUUUGCUGGCUGAGUAAGGGUGAAAAAAGAGGCCCGAACGGAGCAUUUGAGCAUGGAGCUGUUUGAGAUGCUUUAAGUUGGUGCAUUGGUCGAUGAGAGAGAGGGUUUGUGGGUGGCUCGUGGAGGGACGGUCGUUUUUGACAGUUAGAAUGGGCGGGUUUGGGCUAUGGGGAAGAGAGAGAAGCGAACUGUUUAGAGUUGCCAUUUUCCCCUUUGUUUAGGCCGUUGCCUCAUUUGCCGAUGCGGUUUCUUAUUGAAGCCAAAAGUAAA